UCUCCCUUAUGUAGUCGCGGGUUGUGUACGCGCUGGAUUAGGCCGUCGCGGGUUGUCGGAGGGGACACCGGAGUUCCCAUCUCUUUUCCCUUUCAAAGAAAACAAAAGCAAUAGGAACACGUGGAAAGCUUUACUUCAUAAGCUUUGAGGGUGGGAAUUGUAAAUAUAGAAAGUAUAAGGGCCAGUCUAGGGCAGAGGAUUCUACACCGACCUUCAAUUUUAAGAUUAUAUAAAUAAAUGUUGUUUACGUUGUGGGCUUACAAGGCUAGAUUUUUAGGGGUUGGGCCGUUUGACAAGCUUGAGAGACAGUGAUGGAUGAUAUGACAUGAGACAUUAUAUAAUAUAAGGGGGGCCACAACUAUCUUGAUGAUUUGAUAUUAGAAUCUAAAUGGGUGGCGCGUGGUGAUAAAACAGUAGCCAAAUAUAGGGGAGCUUAACAUCCCACAGGCCCCCGGACCCAACCCAAAGCCCAUUAUCUUUUUCUUUCUUACUUUCUGUUCCACCAUCCCCACUCUCACCCCCACUUCCCCUUUGAAAUGACCAUUUUUAUUUUCCUUUU
rnacentral:lncRNA from 1 species